GACGUAGGGGGCCAGCGUUGUUCGGAAUUACUGGGUGUAAAGGGUUCGUAGGCGGUGUGGCAAGUCGGGAGUGAAAUCUCUGGGCUCAACCCAGAGACUGCUUCCGAAACUGCUGUGCUUGAGUGUGAGAGAGGCUCGUGGAAUUGCAGGUGUAGCGGUGAAAUGCGUAGAUAUCGGGAGGAACACCUGUGGCGAAAGCGGCGCACUGGACCACAACUGACGCUGAGGCGCGAAAGCUAGGGGAGCAAACGGG
rnacentral:rRNA from 1 species